AUGAUCGCCGCCAUGGCCAACUUCCUCGACUACGACGUCUACGACCUCAAGCUCACGGCGGUCAAGAACAACACCGAGUUGCGAAAUCUCUUCUUCAUCGAGACCACGGGCAAGUCCAUCAUCAUCAUAGAGGACAUUGACUGCUCCGUCAACCUCACCGGAAAACGCCACAAGAACAAGAAGGCCGCAAAUGACAAGGACUCUGACAAUGAUGACAAGCCCAAGCUACCGGUAGAGCCGGAGAAGGACGACGUCACCAAGCUGGACCCGGCGUUGAUCCGGAGGGAUAGGAUGGACAAGCACAUCGAGUUUUCCUACUGCCACUUCAAGGGCUUCAAGGUGCUUGCUAGAAACUACCUAGAUGUCAUUGAGCAUGAGCUCCUUGGGGAAAUUCAGCGGUUGCUUGAGGAGAGAGACAUGCUGCCCACCGACGUUGCAGAGAACCUGAUGCAAGUCGAAGAAGAAAAUGACAGACCCCACCGUGUGCUUGAGAGGUCUCAUCGAGGCGCUCAAACAGGCCAAAGAGGACGUGGUGGCGGCCAAGGUGAAGGAGGCAGAGGAGGCCAAGGAGAAAGAGGAGGGAGAGGUGAAGAAAGCGAAGGAGGAAGACAAAGGGAUGGACAAAGCACCGGAGGAAGCCAAUGGAGAUAUCAAGUCAGGUGA
rnacentral:rRNA from 1 species